rnacentral:misc_RNA from 1 species
GAUGAAGAACGCAGCGAAAUGCGAUACGUAAUGUGAAUUGCAGAAUUCAGUGAAUCAUCGAAUCUUUGAACGCAUAUUGCGCUCUUUGGUAUUCCGAAGAGCAUGCUUGUUUGAGUAUCAGUAAACACCUCAACCUCUUCUUGAUUUUUCAAAAGGAGGGUGGACUUGAGCUAUCCCAACAACCUUUACCGGUCGGCGGGCGGCUUGAAAUGCAGGUGCAGCUGGACUUUUAUCUGAGCUAAAAGCAUAUCUAUUUAGUCCUCGUCAAACAGGAUUAUUACUUUUGCUGCAGCUAACAUAAAGGAUAAUUGUCCUCUUUGCUGACUGAUGCAGGAUUUUACGACACUUUAUGUGUUGUUCAACUCGAUCUCAAAUCAAGUAAGACUACCCGCUGAACUUAAGCAUAUCAAUAAGCGGAGG